UCCUUUCCCUUCCUCCCCCACAACAAACACUCUGUGAGGUGAAUGAGGCUGAGAGACUUCAGAGAAGUGUGACUGGCCCAAGGUCACCCAGCAGCUGCAUGUGGAGGAGCGGGGAAUUGAACCUGGUUCACCAGAUUACGAGUCCACUGCUCUUAACCACUACACCACGCUGGCUCCCGGACUUUCUGCUCUAUGUGGAAUGCUGAUUGGCUGGCUGCCAGUCCCAGUUAGGGAGCAGCAGAAGCUGAAUGGGAAGAGUUCUAGAAUGUUCUGCAUCAAAGUAGGAGGUGGUUGGAGCUGUUGAAGGAAGGAACAUCUGUCUGCAGGAAGAAGCUGAGGCCAAGAGAAGAUCAGCUGAUGGGAGCACCACGAGAACAAUCCAGGUGGAGAAGCCAGUGAAAAUGAAUAGACAAAAUGAAGAAUGGCAGGAGUCUUCCAUCAGGAGAGACACUGCCUGAUGAGGAGGAAUCUUACUAUGGUGAAUGGGCUGUUGGGUUCUUGUGUGUCCUCAUGCUUUCUAUCUCAACUGUGCUGCUUGUUCUGUAUUAUUUGGAAUCACAAGAAGUAGCAGUAAAGAUCAAUGCUAUGCAGAGGAUUCGGGAAUUCAUGGUCAGUCGAAAUCAGUCCUUUGAACAGAUGAACGCUGCAUUGUGUCCUGAAACCAGGGGAGAGUUCUCCUACUGGCUUGGACCAAGCCCAAAGUCAUUUGCAUAGCCCUGCUUCUGAGGCAAGUGGGAGGAGCAAGCCAUUCCUGGGUAACUUCCAUCUAUUGAAGAGAAAGGAAGUUCGCAAUUCGGCAAUACUCAAUGAAGCUCAGAAGUUACUGCAGGAAGUGGUCAAGAUAGAUUCUAAAAUUUUUGAAUUACAGCUAUCAAUUGACGCCUUCAUUGAAAGGAUAUCCACUGGGUGGAAGCAACAUGAUGGCCACCUCUAUUACCUCGAUGCUUUUGAAACAGCAUUUUUUUAUGCCCGAAGGGCAUGUAGAAACAGAAAUGCUACUUUGACUCCCAUCACCACUGCUAGCGAGGAGACUUUUGUGGAAUCACUGUCUAAGGCAUCCAAACAAAGUGUAUGGAUUGGACUCAUAAAAGAUGGCAAAAGCUGGAAGUGGAUUGAUGGUAAGACGCCAUUCAAAACCAGCUUUUGGGAGCCAGGUCAGCCAGACUCGUGGGGUCCCUUAAGGGAAGAUUGUGUUGAAAUUCGAAUGAAUUGUGCAACCCCAGGAAACUGUUGGAACAAUGUUAGCUGCGAUGAGAGAAAAGCUGCAGUUUGUAGGGUGAGUCCAGAUGAAAGGUGGAUGACGUAAGUCGUAAGUGCUGCUCUCCCUGAUCUACAGGCAAAAGGGGGGGAAAUGGACAGGGCGCCAUUUCGCUGCAAGCCAGCUUACCACCUUAUGAAAACGGUGCGUGAAAAAACUCCACUCCUAGUUAAUCCUGCUUCCUCAAGGCCGGAAAAAUAGAACUUAUUUUGAACCCCACAAAGAUGGACACCAAAAAAUAAUGCAUGAAUUACUUCAGUCAUAUCCCACUCUCCAUGACAACAAAUCAGAGUGAGUAUUCAUGAACAUUCCCCUUCCCUGGAUUUUGACUUUUCCUUCAGAUCUGGCGAAUCCAUGCAUUAAAAGUUGUGAAAAAGCAA